rnacentral:rRNA from 1 species
CUAGUGGCGGACGGGUGAGUAACGCGUGGGUAACCUGCCUCAUACAGGGGGAUAACAGUUAGAAAUGACUGCUAAGACCGCAUAAUAUAGCGAAACCGCAUGAUUUUGCUAUCAAAUAUUUAUAGGUAUGAAGAUGGGCCCGCGUCUGAUUAGCUAGUUGGUGGGUAAAAGCCUACCAAGGCGACGAUCAGUAGCCGGCUUGAGAGAGUGACCGGCCACAUGGGACUGAGACACGGCCCAAACUCCUACGGGAGGCAGCAGUGGGGAAUAUUGGACAAUGGGGGAAACCCUGAUCCAGCCGACGCCGCGUGAGUGAAGAAGUAUUUCGGUAUGUAAAGCUCUAUCAGCAGGGAAGAUAAUGACAGUACCUGACUAAGAAGCCCCGGCUAACUACGUGCCAGCCGCCGC